GGGCGUAAAGAGCUCGUAGGCGGUUUGUCACGUCUGCUGUGAAACCCCGAGGCUCAACCUCGGGCCUGCAGUGGGUACGGGCAAGCUAGAGUGCGGUAGGGGAGAUUGGAAUUCCUGGUGUAGCGGUGGAAUGCGCAGAUAUCAGGAGGAACACCAAUGGCGAAGGCAGAUCUCUGGGCCGUUACUGACGCUGAGGAGCGAAAGCGUGGGGAGCGAACAGGAUUAGAUACCCUGGUAGUCCACGCCGUAAACGUUGGGAACUAGAUGUAGGAGCCAUUCCACGGUUUCUGUGUCGCAGCUAACGCAUUAAGUUCCCCGCCUGGGGAGUACGGCCGCAAGGCUAAAACUCAAAGGAAUUGACGGGGGCCCGCACAAGCGGCGGAGCAUGCGGAUUAAUUCGAUGCAACGCGAAGAACCUUACCAAGGCUUGACAUAUACCGGAAAAGUGCAGAAAUGUACUCCCCGCAAGGUCGGUAUACAGGUGGUGCAUGGUUGUCGUCAGCUCGUGUCGUGAGAUGUUGGGUUAAGUCCCGCAACGAGCGCAACCCUCGUCCUAUGUUGCCAGCACGUAAUGGUGGGAACUCAUGGGAGACUGCCGGGGUCAACUCGGAGGAAGGUAAU
rnacentral:rRNA from 1 species